rnacentral:misc_RNA from 1 species
GGACAACAGUUCCAUUUUUGAGCUCGAUUGAGACAGUCUCAUUGUUGAGCUUCAUCAAAAACCUAACAAGCUUCAUGAUUGCAGAGGAAAUGAAGAAUGUAGGGUUUCAAACAACGAAGCGAGGGAGAGGAAAUUGGGAGAUUGCCGCGGUUUUGUCCCGAUGGGUUUUGCUUUAAAGAACAAAUUGAUUAUUAAUUUUUCUUUUUC